CAGGGGCCUACAGUGCAGGGCAGAAACAUGGCCGCCUUUGCUCUGUCCAUCAUGCCACACCAACACCUGGCGAAAGUGGUUGCAUACCUCCUCCAGUUUCCCUUCAGAGACUGCGAGAGAGUAUGGAAGGAGGUUUUGGCAUCGGCCGACCAAGAACAACUGCUCCAUCUCAUGGCCGAGCAGCUUUACCAAAGCCCCUUGGCAGAAUCUGCCACCCAAGUGCAACAUCUCACCAG